AACGAACGCUGGCGGCAUGCCUAACACAUGCAAGUCGAACGAGACCUUCGGGUCUAGUGGCGCACGGGUUCGUAACGCGUGGGAACCUGCCCUUAGGUUCGGAAUAACUCCCCGAAAGGGGUGCUAAUACCGGAUAAUGUCUUCGGACCAAAGAUUUAUCGCCUUUGGAUGGGCCCGCGUUGGAUUAGCUAGUUGGUAGGGUAAAAGCCUACCAAGGCGACGAUCCAUAGCUGGUCUGAGAGGAUGAUCAGCCACACUGGGACUGAGACACGGCCCAGACUCUUACGGGAGGUAGCAGUGGGGAAUAUUGGACAAUGGGCGAAAGCCUGAUCCAGCAAUGCCGGGUGAGUGAUGAAGGCCUUAGGGUUGUAAAGCUCUUUUACCCGGGAUGAUAAUGACAGUACCGGGAGAAUAAGCUCCGGCUAACUCCGUG
rnacentral:rRNA from 1 species